AUAACACCUGUAUAUAUUAGCCGUUGCCCUACUAAGAGGAAUCCGGCAAAUAUCAUCACUAACUUUAUCUUUAUUCACAUUUUUUUUAAAAGUUUACCUCAUAAUUACUCACACAUAAAAGAUAAGAUAUGCUUUAGCAUUGCUUAGUCUGUGCCGUGAUGCGGCUACGCAUUUUGGUUUGCGAAGAUAUCGUGGAGUUGAAUGAAUUCAAGUAUGGCGUACAAGUGUGACUCGAGUUGUCCAUUCUACACUGAGUCAACGCUAUAUAUUUUCACCAGAUUUAGUACCUAUUUAUUGACUUCGAAAGAAUGGAGUGCUUGAUUGGCAUUUGGAGUGGUAGCAAACCUCACCUGGGCCUGCGUAUCAGGUGGGCAGCUUUGCGCUGCUCAACCUCAUUUUCCAUCAAUGUCUCACUUCUUUAAUAUCAAAAAAAAUUCAAUUUCAGUAUUUUGUCACGUGUCUUAAAAGCAGUAACUUGAUGGACAUACGACUAUAGCCGAAAACAGUUCCAGUCAAAGAGUUGUUGGUACUGGACUUUGACGGUACAUUCGUCAAGGUGUAAUUAAGGUGUUUUAAGUGUAGUUCAGAAAUAACGAAAACCUGUGCUAGAGUUAAAGGUUAGAAGUUUGCUUUAUCUUGAUUUUCAAAGCGAGUACACACAGUGAAAGCAUAGCAUACCGAUUCUUUUCAUUUAGAUGGUUUCUGACAAGAGGUGUUAGAAAAGUAACUACAUAGAUAACUUGCUUGUAGCUUAUUGAGUGUCCAUGGUAACGUUGCUUUGUGAUUCUUUGAUGUCGGAUCUUCUUAUCAUUGCAAAGUAAAAUCCGCUAGAUGUUGGAUUGUGACUUCAACGGAUUUUGACCGAUAUGAUGCUAGUCCUUUGCUCGCUUUGCCUUACUGUUAAUUAUUUGUUAAUAUCGAUAGCAAUCCUGCUUAGUACGGCAAAAAUAUCAAAUUUAGACAUUUGGUUCGUAGACGUUAGGGAUCGGUUAAUAGUUUGGAGCUAACGUUUGAAAGAUAACAAGUGAACGCCUCCACGCUAGAAUCCCAUAUAGUAAAGGAAACGAUAUCAGU
rnacentral:ncRNA from 1 species